UGAGUAGGCGGUUGUAUAUGUCAGGUGUAAAAGGCUAUGGCUUAACCAUGGUUAGCACUUGAAACUGUACAACUUGAGUGCAGGAGAGGUAAGUGGAAUUCCUAGUGUAGCGGUGAAAUGCGUAGAUAUUAGGAGGAACACCAGUGGCGAAGGCGACUUACUGGACUGUAACUGACGCUGAGUCACGAAAGCGUGGGUAGCAAACAG
rnacentral:rRNA from 1 species